rnacentral:lncRNA from 1 species
GUGGCUAUGUUUUACAAGUAACCUUGUGCUGGUUGGCUGAAAUAUGAGUCCACAGCAUUUAAACCAAUAAUAUUGUACAAGUUCUAGUGUUUUCCUUAGACUCCUGGGUAUCGGUUAGCUGCAAAGCUGCCAAAGGACAUUCCACAGUCAAAGGAAAUUGAGUGUAGGUGGGCAGUCCAGAGCCCAAGUGCAUACUUUAUAAUCUCUCAGUUGUUAUACUUACGAGAAGAGUUUUUCAUGGAGGAGAUGGCAAUGAGUGUUUUUCUUCCCAAGUGGUCGCAGCAACAUUGGGAUCAGAACGGAUACAGAGGUACAAACAUGUGGACUGUGAUCCACUUGCAGUUGGUCUUAUAAAAAGAACCUAAGGAUCAAUGGCAUUCAGGCUGGAAAGAGCAUCCCUGGAUGAUAACAGAUGAUGAUUUCUAGGGGAAAAUAAACAAUGUAAGUACUCAAAUAUUUCUAUAUUU